rnacentral:lncRNA from 1 species
GAGAGGUUUCUUCCAAAAACUUGAGGAAAAAUCAAUGUUCAUAAGUUUCCUUCUUCUUUUCCAUUGUUCUUUUUCUUUUUAUAUAUCAGAACAGAAAGAAAAAUAUAUUGAUAUAUUAUGGAGGUUUCAUGAUUUCAAUGGAUGUCAGUUUUACUUAGCAUUUUGAAUGUUUCAAUUCGAUUCUGGUUUUUUUGGUACGAAAAAGUGGAAAUUAUUGGAGGUUUGAAUACGUUGCUGCUGACUGGGCUGUAGCUGCUUCAUUUUGAGUUUUUUUGUGGGAUUAUUUUCUCAGAGGAUCAGA